rnacentral:rRNA from 1 species
GACGAACGCUGGCGGCGUGCUUAACACAUGCAAGUCGAACGGAAAGGCCCUGCUUUUGUGGGGUGCUCGAGUGGCGAACGGGUGAGUAACACGUGAGUAACCUGCCCUUCACUUUGGGAUAACUUCAGGAAACUGGGGCUAAUACCGGAUAGGAGCUCCUGCUGCAUGGUGGGGGUUGGAUAGUUUCGGCGGUUGGGGAUGGACUCGCGGCUUAUCAGCUUGUUGGUUGGGUAGUGGCUUACCAAGGCUUUGACGGGUAGCCGGCCUGGGAGGGUGACCGGCCACAUUGGGACUGAGAUACGGCCCAGACUCCAACGGGAGGCAGCGGUGGGGAGUAUUGCACAGUGGGCGGAAGCCUGAUGCAGCAACGCCGCGUGCGGGAUGACGGCCUGCGGGUUGUGAACCGCUUUCGCCUGUGACGAAGCGUGAGUGACGGUAAUGGGUAAAGAAGCACCGGCUAACUACGUG